rnacentral:rRNA from 1 species
GUAGUGAUAUGCUUGUCUCAAAGAUUAAGCCAUGCAUGUCUAAGUAUAAGCAAUUUAUACGGUGAAACUGCGAAUGGCUCAUUAAAUCAGUUAUAGUUUAUUUGAUAGUACCUUACUACAUGGAUACCUGUGGUAAUUCUAGAGCUAAUACAUGCUAAAAACCCCGACUUCGGAAGGGGUGUAUUUAUUAGAUAAAAAACCAACGCCCUUCGGGGCUCCUUGGUGAAUCAUGAUAACUUAACGAAUCGCAUGGCCUUGCGCCGGCGAUGGUUCAUUCAAAUUUCUGCCCUAUCAACUUUCGAUGGUAGGAUAGUGGCCUACCAUGGUGGCAACGGGUAACGGGGAAUUAGGGUUCGAUUCCGGAGAGGGAGCCUGAGAAACGGCUACCACAUCCAAGGAAGGCAGCAGGCGCGCAAAUUACCCAAUCCCGAUACGGGGAGGUAGUGACAAUAAAUACUGAUACAGGGCUCUUUUGGGUCGUGUAAUUGGAAUGAGUACAAUCUAAACCCCUUAACGAGGAACAAUUGGAGGGCAAGUCUGGUGCCAGCAGCCGCGGUAAUUCCAGCUCCAAUAGCGUAUAUUAAAGUUGUUGCAGUUAAAAAGCUCGUAGUUGAACCUCGGGCCUAGCUGGCCGGUCCGCCUCACCGCGAGUACUGGACUGGCUGGGCCUUCCCUCCUGGGGAACCCCAUGGCCUUCACUGGCUGUGGCGGGGAACCAGGACUUUUACUGUGAAAAAAUUAGAGUGUUCAAAGCAGGCCUUUGCUCGAAUACAUUAGCAUGGAAUAAUAGAAUAGGACGUGCGGUCCUAUUUUGUUGGUUUUCAGACCGCCGUAAUGAUUAAUAGGGAUAGUCGGGGGCGUCAGUAUUCAGCUGUCAGAGGUGAAAUUCUUGGAUUUGCUGAAGACUAACUACUGCGAAAGCAUUCGCCAAGGAUGUUUUCAUUAAUCAGGAACGAAAGUUAGGGGAUCGAAGACGAUCAGAUACCGUCGUAGUCUUAACCAUAAACUAUGCCGACUAGGGAUCGGACGGUGUUUAUUGUCUUCGAUCCCCU